rnacentral:lncRNA from 10 species
UUCCCAGAGCUCAUCCUGUCACUGGCUGCUCUGCUGAAAUUAUCAAUAAGAAAUGCCAGUUGGAUCUGUGACAUGUCUGCCUGCAGCUGGAUGGGAGCAACGGACAGCUUGUCCUCCGAAUGUGUUUUCUGUAUGUGUGCAAGCGCGUGUGUUCCAAACGGGCAGUAGCGUGUGGGAAGGAAAAAGCCUGACACUUGUUUUUAUCAAUUUGCUGAUGCUCAGUCCCGGCGGCUGCCUCCUUUGCCCCCAGCUGCUCUGCCAUUUCUCUCUUUUCAAUCCUGCAUGAUCCUGAGCAGAGAUAAAAGCAGAUUUCCGCUUCUGCUCCCAGAUCCAGGAGCAGACCCUGCAGGCAGCUGCUCCUGAUGUCUCACAGCUAUUAGUCUUCAAAAACCCCCCGUGCCUCUGUGCACACGCGUCUCUCCUCCCCAGCCAGCCCCCCUCCCAGCCCAGCGGCGAUGUCUCUGCCUGGCUGGCCCGUGCCCUUGACUUCCAGGCAGUAGAAGAUGGAGUUCUCUAGACAGCAGCACUUCAGCCGCCACUCUGCCUCUGAAGGGAAGGAAGGGAAAGGUCCUUCAGCUCCUACUUAAUGGAAGCCUCGCAGAUGCAAGAUGGCUCCAGCAGGCCCAGCAUCACUUCUUCUCAGUGUCCCAAAGCCAGAAGAGAGGCUGUUGUUUUUAAAAGCAGGAAAACUUUCCUAAACUUGGCCAGAAUUGCAUCACAGACCCUUUCCUAAAACAAUUUCCAGCAAAGGGAAUAGACUUACCAUGUCUGGUACAGAUGAAUCAAGGUUUGCCCCUGGGGGCUGGGGAGGGGCUUGUCCCGCUGAAGCAGACUCUUGCCCAGCAGCUGAACGAAGCCUAGGUUCACCAGACGGAGGAAGAGACUGGCCACUAACAGUGCCUGACACACAGAUGUGCUUCCUGUGAUAUCGCUGCUGCCACCGUUCCAAAUGUAAGCAGUUGGCUGUCUGGGAUACUACCUACCUUCUUUUGUGUUCUUAUUAAUAAAAUUAAAGAUUGCUUUCUGGGUAGAGAAAUU